rnacentral:rRNA from 1 species
AGUGAAGCGGCAACAGCUCAAAUUUGAAAUCUGGCCUCCUUUGGGGGUCCGAGUUGUAAUUUGCAGAGGGUGCUUUGGCGUCGGCAGCGGUCUAAGUUCCUUGGAACAGGACAUCACAGAGGGUGAGAAUCCCGUACGUGGUCGCCUGCCUUCGCCGUGUAAAGCCCCUUCGACGAGUCGAGUUGUUUGGGAAUGCAGCUCUAAAUGGGAGGUAAAUUUCUUCUAAAGCUAAAUACCGGCCAGAGACCGAUAGCGCACAAGUAGAGUGAUCGAAAGAUGAAAAGCACUUUGGAAAGAGAGUCAAACAGCACGUGAAAUUGUUGAAAGGGAAGCGCUUGCAGCCAGACUUGCUCGUAGUUGCUCACCUGGGUCCGCCCGGGGCACUCUUCUGCGAGCAGGCCAGCAUCAGUUUGGGCGACCGGAUAAAGGCCUCUGUCAUGUAUCUUCCUUCGGGAUGACCUUAUAGGGGAGGCGUAAUGCGGCCAGCCCGGACUGAGGUCCGCGCUUCUGCUAGGAUGCUGGCGUAAUGGCUGUAAGCGGCCCGUCUUGAAACACGGACCAAGGAGUCUAACAUCUAUGCGAGUGUUUGGGUGUCAAGCCCGGGCGCGUAAUGAAAGUGAACGGAGGUGGGAACCCUCUCCGGGGGGUGCACCAUCGACCGAUCCUGAUGUCUUCGGAUGGAUUUGAGUAAGAGCAUAGCUGUUGGGACCCGAAAGAUGGUGAACUAUGCUUGAAUAGGGUGAAGCCAGAGGAAACUCUSGUGGAGGCUCGCAGCGGUUCUGACGUGCAAAUCGAUCGUCAAAUUUGGGCAUAGGGCGAAAGACUAAUCGAAC